rnacentral:sRNA from 1 species
GAGACUGCCGUCCUGUUUAUCCACAGAACAGGUACAGGAUUGGCAGGGGCAUGCUUCCCCACACUGUCCUGCCAAUGUGCCUUAGCCCUGACCUGGAGGUACCAGGACAACAAGCUGGACCAUGUUUAUUUGUGGCAUCU